CGCGUUUUCCUCUGGGGACAGGGCGAUCCCCGCCCUCUGGAGGUGCAGAUCAGUUUGCCCACGCUUUGCGACGAUAGGAAAAAAACAGGGACGAUGGGCACCAGAAAGGGAGGCCUCAGGGUCCAGCCUGCUGCAUAUCUGGUCCCCCGGGAGGGACUGUUACACAAACCAGCUGGCCCGGGUCUGUGUGGGAGGCGGAAGCUCGUGAGGGUGAAGGCUGCUGUGUGAGGCUAGUGAGGACAGGCCCUGCUGCCAGCGCGAAUCACGUCCAUCACUGCUCUCCUGAACAGAUUUGAUUUCACUGCAUCACAGCGCCAGCCCCAGGACUUUGCCCUGGAAAUGAGGAGCAGAUCUGCUGGAUUUCUUCUGAAGACCUCAUUUCUUGCUUUCUCUUUGGACACUAUCAAUGCUGUUGCACACAGAGCUCCCUAACAAGCCCACGGGGUCAGAGCACUGUAUACUAAUUCACAUGGGCCUUAUCUUAUUUUUCUUACUCUUAUUUUCCUUCCACACCAACACUGUUUAUAAAAAUUCUCGUAUCGUG
ensembl:lncRNA